GUCUGCUGGCUGUGCUCUGAGGAGGAAGAGACAGGAGGUUGUGUGAGGGGCAGAAAGGGUAAGAUGCUGUAUGAGGGACAGACAGGAUUAGGUGGCCAUGUGAGGGACAGGAAGCAGUGAGCUGAAACUGCAGAAGAAAGAGCCAGAGCUGUGUGGGGUUGUUCAUAGGACUGCAACAUAGCAAAGGUAUGGAAGACUUUUUAAAUAACGUGGGACUGCAAUGUAGAGAAGGUAUUUCAGGUAACAAGGUACUGAUGCUUGAAGCCCCCUGAAGUUUUUAAAGAAGCACUCUUGAGUGCUGUGGCCAUCUCGACAAUGACCUCAAAAAUAGGGAGAACAGAAAGGAUGACUACACCUGUCCAUCUGAUUCUGCAUCAUGUCAUCACUGAUGGCUGUUGGGAGAUGCAGAGAUUACCAGAACAUCAGGACACUCCUUAAUGUUCACCACCCUGCAGGAUCCUCAGGCCUGGUCUGGGUGCACUGAAAUGCAGCUUGAAAGUAACAAAAGUAGGUACAGCAUCGAUAAGGAGACACUUACUGCCGGAGCUGUAUGGGUACACAAGCCUUUGUAAUGCCAGGAGAUUUAACAUGACAGGAAGCAAGCUGGAACACCUCUGCUCCAGCUGGUAGUUGAGAAUGGAUGAUGAGUUUCCCAUUCCAUAUGAAUUUUUCUGUGGGCUGACUGUAUUUGCCAGCUGCUGUUUUCAUAUUAUAAUAGUAAAGUUAAUUUUAAAA